rnacentral:rRNA from 1 species
CCUACGGGUGGCAGCAGUGGGGAAUCUUGGGCAAUGGGCGCAAGCCUGACGCAGCAACGCCGCGUGAAGGAAGAAGGCCUUCGGGUUGUAAACUUCUUUUGUCAGGGAAGAGUAGAAGACGGUACCUGACGAAUAAGCCACGGCUAACUACGUGCCAGCAGCCGCGGUACUACGUAGGUGGCAAGCGUUGUCCGGAUUUACUGGGGGUAAAGGGCGGGUAGCCGGGUUGACAAGUCAGAUGUGAAAUCCUGGGGCUUAACCGCAGAACUGCAUUUGAAACUGUUGGUCUUGAGGACUGGAGAGGCAGGCGGAAUUCCUAGUGUAGCGGUGAAAUGCGUAGAUAUUAGGAGGAACACCAGUGGCGAAGGCGGUCUGCUGGACAGCAACUGACGGUGAGGCGCGAAAGCGUGGGGAGCAAACAGGAUUAGAUACCCUAGUAGUC